rnacentral:rRNA from 1 species
GGUAGAGGAGCAUUGUAUAUGGGUAGAAGCUAUACCGAAAGGAGUAGUGGACUGUAUACAAGAGAGAAUGUUGGCAUAAGUAGCGAAAGGUGAGUGAGAAUCUCACCCAUCGAAAGCCUAAGGAUUCCUGAGGAAGGCUCGUCCACUCAGGGUAAGUCGGGACCUAAGCCCAGGCCAAACGGCGUAGGCGAUGGACAACAGGUUGAAAUUCCUGUACUACCCAAAGGCGCUUGAGAAAAGGAGUGACGCAGGAGGAUAGGUUAAGCACACCGUUGGUUGAGUGUGCCCAAGCCGGUAGGGAGUAUCUAUAGGCAAAUCCGUAGAUACGUAUCCCGAGAAGUGAUGGGGAGCGAAAUUAGAGUAGCGAACUAACUGAUUCCACACUGCCAAGAAAAGCUUCUAUCGAGCCUGAAGGUACCCGUACCGCAAACCGACACAGGUAGGCGAGGAGAGAAUCCUAAGAUGAGCGGAAGAACUCUUGUUAAGGAACUCGGCAAAUUAACCCCGUAACUUCGGGAGAAGGGGUGCCAGGAGAGGUUAAGUGCUAGCCACGUAAGCCUCCCUUGGCCGCAGUGAAUAGGCCCAGGCGACUGUUUACCAAAAACACAGGUCUCUGCUAAAUCGAAAGAUGAAGUAUAGGGGCUGACACCUGCCCGGUGCUGGAAGGUUAAGGGGAAUGCUUAGCGCAAGCGAAGGUAUGAACUUAAGCCCCAGUAAACGGCGGCCGUAACUAUAACGGUCCUAAGGUAGCGAAAUUCCUUGUCGGGUAAGUUCCGACCCGCACGAAAGGUGUAACGAUUUGGGCACUGUCUCAACAAUAGAUCCGGUGAAAUUGUAGUACUCGUGAAGAUGCGAGUUACCCGCGACUAGACGGAAAGACCCCGUGGAGCUUUACUGCAAGCUGACAUUGGAUUUUGGUGUCAUAUGUACAGGAUAGGUGGGAGACUUAGAAGCCAGGGCGCCAGUCUUGGUGGAGUCACCAUUGGGAUACCACCCUUAUGAUACUGAAGUUCUAACUAGAAACUGUGAAACCAGUUUUAGGACACUGUCAGUUGGGCAGUUUGACUGGGGCGGUCGCCUCCCAAAAAGUAACGGAGGCGCUCAAAGGUUCCCUCAGCACGGUCGGAAAUCGUGCGUAGAGUGUAAAGGCAAAAGGGAGCUUAACUGCGAGACCAACAAGUCGAGCAGUAACGAAAGUUGGACUUAGUGAUCCGGUGGCACCGAGUGGAAGGGCCAUCGCUCAACGGAUAAAAGCUACCCCGGGGAUAACAGGCUUAUCUCCCCCAAGAGUCCACAUCGACGGGGAGGUUUGGCACCUCGAUGUCGGCUCGUCUCAUCCUGGGGCUGAAGUAGGUCCCAAGGGUUGGGCUGUUCGCCCAUUAAAGAGGCACGCGAGCUGGGUUCAGAACGUCGUGAGACAGUUCGGUCCCUAUCUGUCGUGGGCGUAGGAAAUUUGAGAGGAGCUGUUCCUAGUACGAGAGGACCGGAAUGGACAGACCACUGGUGCAUCAGUUGUCCUGCCAAGGGCAUAGCUGAGUAGCCAAGUCUGGAAAGGAUAAGCGCUGAAGGCAUCUAAGCGCGAAGCCCCCCUUAAGAUAAGAUUUCCCAUAGUAUAAGCUAGUAAGACCCCAGAAAGACAAUCUGGUAGAUAGGUCGUAGGUGUAAGAGCAGCAAUGCUUUCAGCUUAACGAUACUAAUAGGUCGAGGGCUUGACCAG